rnacentral:rRNA from 1 species
UACGAAGGGGGCUAGCGUUGCUCGGAAUCACUGGGCGUAAAGCGCACGUAGACGGCUUCUUAAGUCAGGGGUGAAAUCCUGGAGCUCAACUCCAUAACUGCCUUUGAUACUGAGGAGCUUGAGUCCGGGAGAGGUGAGUGGAACUGCGAGUGUAGAGUCGAAAUUCGUAGAUAUUCGCAAGAACACCAGUGGCGAAGGCGGCUCACUGGCCCGAUACUGACGCUGAGGCACGAAAGCGUGGGGAGCAAACAGG